rnacentral:rRNA from 1 species
GACGAACGCUGGCGGCGUGCUUAACACAUGCAAGUCGAGCGGUAAGGCUCCUUCGGGAGUACACGAGCGGCGAACGGGUGAGUAACACGUGAGUAACCUGCCCUUCUCAUCGGAAUAAGCGUUGGAAACGACGUCUAAUGCCGAAUAUGACUUCGGAAGGCAUCUUCUGAAGUGGAAAGCUCCGGCGGAGAAGGAUGGACUCGCGGCCUAUCAGCUAGUUGGUGAGGUAACGGCUCACCAAGGCGACGACGGGUAGCCGGCCUGAGAGGGUGACCGGCCACACUGGGACUGAGACACGGCCCAGACUCCUACGGGAGGCAGCAGUGGGGAAUAUUGGACAAUGGGCGCAAGCCUGAUCCAGCAACGCCGCGUGAGGGACGACGGCCUUCGGGUUGUAAACCUCUUUUAGCAGGGAAGAAGCGAAAGUGACGGUACCUGCAGAAAAAGCACCGGCUAACUACGUGCCAGCAGCCGCGGUAAUAC